rnacentral:rRNA from 1 species
UCCAGACUCCUACGGGAGGCAGCAGUGGGGGAUAUUGCACAAUGGGGGGAACCCUGAUGCAGCGACGCCGCGUGGGUGAAGGAGUGCUUCGGCAUGUAAAGCCCUAUCGGCAGGGAAGAAGCAAGACGGUACCUGACUAAGAAGCCCCGGCUAACUACGUGCCAGCAGCCGCGGUAAUACGUAGGGGGCAAGCGUUAUCCGGAUUUACUGGGGGUAAAGGGGGCGCAGACGGCGAUGCAAGCCAGGAGUGAAAGCCCGGGGCCCAACCCCGGGACUGCUCUUGGAACUGCGCGGCUGGAGUGCAGGAGGGGCAGGCGGAAUUCCUGGUGUAGCGGUGAAAUGCGUAGAUAUCAGGAGGAACACCGGUGGCGAAGGCGGCCUGCUGGACUGCGACUGACGUUGAGGCCCGAAAGCGUGGGGAGCAAACAGGAUUAGAUACCCGUGUAC